AAGUUCAUUGACCCAUCUACAACAACAUGUGUAUCUAAAGUAUUGGAAUUCAGUGAUUUCCUUUUGUCCAAGCAUCACACUAACCAAAGGUCAAAAUGGAGCUCUAUUAAAGCAAUAUUAAAUGUGAAAGGUUUUGUUUAUGCAGUGCCGUGGAUGCAAGAACAACUUUGCUCUCAUUCCGUCACUGGAAAGGCUUCAAAUGCGUAGCUUAAUUCAAAGAAAAGGAUGCAAAACCAGAGCCAGAGAAAGUUAAGAGUAUAUAUGCUGUGUCUAAAGUAUAGUGCAAAAAGGUUUGAGGGAAAAGAGGCAGACAUAUGACAAGUUAUGGCACCAAAGAUUAAUAAUAUUGUGCAAGUUGAGAAAACCAAGUUGAAAGCAUCUGGACAUCAGUAACUAUAUGACAUUCCAUUUUCUACUAUUUACAUGUUCUGUACAUGUAAAUAUAUUUAGUAUAAUAGCCUAGUUAUAUUUUUGCUAUU
rnacentral:lncRNA from 1 species